rnacentral:rRNA from 1 species
CUGGUCUUGACAUCCACAGAACUUUCCAGAGAUGGAUUGGUGCCUUCGGGAACUGUGAGACAGGUGCUGCAUGGCUGUCGUCAGCUCGUGUUGUGAAAUGUUGGGUUAAGUCCCGCAACGAGCGCAACCCUUAUCCUUUGUUGCCAGCGGUUAGGCCGGGAACUCAAAGGAGACUGCCAGUGAUAAACUGGAGGAAGGUGGGGAUGACGUCAAGUCAUCAUGGCCCUUACGACCAGGGCUACACACGUGCUACAAUGGCAUAUACAAAGAGAAGCGACCUCGCGAGAGCAAGCGGACCUCAUAAAGUAUGUCGUAGUCCGGAUUGGAGUCUGCAACUCGACUCCAUGAAGU